rnacentral:rRNA from 1 species
GACGGAGGGUGCGAGCGUUAUUCGGAAUUAUUGGGCGUAAAGGGCGUGCAGGCGGCCGGCCAAGUCUGAUGUGAAAGCCCGGGGCUUAACCUCGGAAGGGCGUUGGAAACUGGUUGGCUUGAGUUCGGGAGAGGAAAGCGGAAUUUCGGGUGUAGAGGUGAAAUUCGUAGAUAUCCGGAGGAACACCGGUGGCGAAGGCGGCUUUCUGGACCGAAACUGACGCUGAGACGCGAAAGCGUGGGGAGCAAACAGG